GGAAUUUUUCGCAAUGGGGGAAACCCUGACGAAGCAACGCCGCGUGGAGGAUGAAGGCCUUCGGGUCGUAAACUCCUGUCGCCCGGGACGAAAGCAGUCUGGGUUAAUACCUCGGGCCGUUGACUGUACCGGUGGAGGAAGCCACGGCUCACUCUGUGCCAGCAGCCUCGGUAAUCCAGAGGUGGCAAGCGUUGUUCGGAAUUACUGGGCGUAAAGGGCGCGUAGGCGGUUCGAUAAGUCCCGCAUGAAAUCCCCCGGCUCAACUGGGGAACUGCGCGGGAAACUGUCGGGCUUGAGUUCGGGAGAGGGAAGCGGAAUUCCGGGUGUAGCGGUGAAAUGCGUAGAUAUCCGGAGGAACACCGGUGGCGAAGGCGGCUUCCUGGACCGACACUGACGCUGAGGCGCGAAAGCUAGGGGAGCAAAC
rnacentral:rRNA from 1 species